CUUGAAGUCAUCUCAUUUAAUCGGAGAUAAAACCUCCAGUUAUUUAAAUAUGUAUAGGGAUUUGGGAUAACUAGUUUUUCUUCAUUUAAUCAGUGUCUGGCUUCCAGAGUUUAUUUUACUUUCAACUACCCAAAAUAAGUGCCAUGUUAUCUACUCCAGUCCCGAGCCCUACCUCAAUGGAGAACUGCUUGAGGUGAUUCAGUGCUGGUAAGAUAUAUUCAAUGAACAAUCAGAAGACGGUGAUAAGCAAAUGGUAUCAAUUUCCUAUGAAUAUCUAUUGUAAAUCCUGCUACAUACUAUUAUAUAUUAUUUACUAUUCAAACAAC